AGCGAACGCUGGCGGUAUGCCUAACACAUGCAAGUCGAACGGCAGCACAGUAAUAGCUUGCUCUUACGGGGGGCGAGUGGCGGAUGACUGGUGAAUACAUCGGAAUCUACUUUUUGGUGGGGGAUAGCGUAGGGAUACUAACGCUAAUACGGCAUACUACCUACGUGUGAAAUCAGGAGAUCUUCGGAUCUUGCGCGAUCGAAUGAGCCGAUGUCGGGUUAGCGAGUUAGCGGGCUACAGGCCCACCAAGGCGACGAUCCGUAGCUGGUGUGAGGGGAUGAACCGCCACACUGGGAGUGAGAGACGGUCCAGACUCCUACGGGAGGCAGAAGUGGGGACUAUUGGAAGAAGGGGGCAAGACUGAUCCAGCCAUACAGCGUGGGUGAAGAAGGCCUUCGGGUUGUAAAGCCCUUUUGUUGGGAAAGACAAGCAGCAGGUGAAUACCACGCUGUUGUGACGGUACCCAAAGAAUAAGCACCGGCUAACUUCGUG
rnacentral:rRNA from 1 species